AGUUAUUUGUCUGGAAUCUAGACAAAAUAGUAACUAAGAAAAGCAUUUUUUGCAGUGGGGUGUUGUUUCAAUAUUGUGACUUUUUUCAGGAAGAGAAUGGUGAUGGUAUGAGAAAUAUAAAACAGAUUUUAAUUGGCAACAUAUGUAUGGAAGAAUCAACUGUGUUCAGCAAAAUUGUGUGGUCAAUCUCUGAGCAACCAGCGCUGGAUGUUGAGUUUGGAGGGUCAAGUUGUAUGUGAAGGAGCACAGCCCAACUUCAUCACUGGCCUGGCAGUGCUGUUUGCCUCCUUCUAUAAUUUCGAUUUACAGUACCAGGAAGAGGCAGCAUGCACCCUUGAGUUUGUUCAGAGACGCUUUGUUGACAUCAAUCCUGAACGUGGAUCGAAAGCAAAAACAGGAAAAGUGACUUCAAAGAAAACUGGCCAAGUUGUGCAAAAAAAGAACGCCACUGUAAGCCCACCAGUUUCCUCACUUCUGCGAAAACUUUCAGACUU